rnacentral:rRNA from 1 species
UUGAGAGUUUGAUCCUGGCUCAGGAUGAACGCUGGCGGCGUGCCUAAUACAUGCAAGUCGAACGCACAGCGAAAGGUGCUUGCACCUUUCAAGUGAGUGGCGAACGGGUGAGUAACACGUGGACAACCUGCCUCAAGGCUGGGGAUAACAUUUGGAAACAGAUGCUAAUACCGAAUAAAACUUAGUGUCGCAUGACACAAAGUUAAAAGGCGCUUCGGCGUCACCUAGAGAUGGAUCCGCGGUGCAUUAGUUAGUUGGUGGGGUAAAGGCCUACCAAGACAAUG